rnacentral:misc_RNA from 1 species
GAUGAAGAACGCAGCGAAAUGCGAUAAGUAAUGUGAAUUGCAGAAUUCAGUGAAUCAUCGAAUCUUUGAACGCACAUUGCGCCCGCUAGUAUUCUGGCGGGCAUGCCUGUCCGAGCGUCAUUUCGACCCUCAAGCCCCCGGGCUUGGUGUUGGGGAUCGGCGAGCCUCCGCGCCCGCCGUCCCCUAAAUCUAGUGGCGGUCUCGCUGUAGCUUCCUCUGCGUAGUAGCACACCUCGCACUGGGAAACAGCGCGGCCACGCCGUUAAACCCCCAACUUCUGAACGUUUGACCUCGGAUCAGGUAGGAAUACCCGCUGAACUUAAGCAUAUCAAUAAGCGGAGGA